rnacentral:rRNA from 1 species
AUUGAACGCUGGCGGCAGGCCUAACACAUGCAAGUCGAACGAGUGGCGGACGGGUGAGUAAUGUCUGGGAAACUGCCCGAUGGUGGGGGAUAACUACUGGAAACGGUAGCUAAUACCGCAUACCAUCGGAUGUGCCCAGGUGGGAUUUGCUAGUAGGUGGGGUAACGGCUCACCUAGGCCACGAUCCCUAGCUGGUCUGCGAGGAUGACCAGCCACACUGGAACGGAGACACGGUCCAUACUCCUACGGAAGGCAGCAGGGGGGAAUAUUGAACCAUGGGCGCGAGCCGGAUGCAGCCAGGCCGCGUGUAUGAAGAAGGCCUGCGGUUGGUAAAGUACUUUCAUCGAGGAGGCGUUACUCGCAGAAGAAGCACCGGCUAACUCCGUGCCAGCAGCCGCGGUAAUUC